CUACACCCCAUGGCCAUUAAAAGUUAUUCAAAUCAUGACGCUGCACCCCACGGUUUAUGUUCUAGGGGGCGCCAAAGAUAACCCUAAAAUCCACAUAUUUAAAAGUCUUAUAACUUUUUAUUUUUGCCCUCACUGGCCUCCAAGUUUUCUAGGAUGAUGCAAUGUCCAGCCAUCAACACAUUUGUGAAGGAAUUUUUACUCCCCAAAAGAGCGCCCCCCCAUGGCAGGAGAAAAAAGUCCAUUUUUUCUUGUUCCAUAAGGUGAAAAUUCACACUAUUGACUGUCACGCCUGUACGCUUUGUCAAAAUUACACAAAAAUUGACACACACAUGUAUCUCAAUAAGAUCUACAAAAAAGUCAGUGCGCGCGUAUCUGUCAAAUGUACGGUUAAAGGGUUAUUGCGCAUUUUUUGCCGAUCCGCACACAUUGGAAUUUCGCUAACUCCUCCGAAGGCUUUCGUUCCACCGGCACCACAUUUGCUCAGGCCAAUCUACACCCCAUGGCCAUUAAAAGUUAUUCAAAUCAUGACGCUGCACCCCACGGUUUAGGUUCUAGGGGGCGCCAAAGAUAACCCUAAAAUCCACAUAUUUAAAAGUCUUAUAACUUUUUAUUUUUGUCCUCUCUGGCCUCCAAGUUUUCUAGGAUGAUGCAAUGUCCAGCCAUCAACACAUUUGUGAAGGAAUUUUUACUCCCU
rnacentral:lncRNA from 1 species